rnacentral:rRNA from 1 species
CGAAAGCCUGACGGAGCAACGCCGCGUGAGGGAUGAAGGCCUCUGGGCUGUAAACCUCUUUUAUCAAGGAAGAAGAACUGACGGUACUUGAUGAAUAAGCCACGGCUAAUUCCGUGCCAGCAGCCGCGGUAAUACGGGAGUGGCAAGCGUUAUCCGGAAUUAUUGGGCGUAAAGCGUCCGCAGGCGGUUUUACAAGUCUGUCGUUAAAGCGUGGAGCUCAACUCCAUUUCAGCGAUGGAAACUGUAAGACUCGAGUGUGGUAGGGGCAGAGGGAAUUCCCGGUGUAGCGGUGAAAUGCGUAGAUAUCGGGAAGAACACCAGUGGCGAAAGCGCUCUGCUGGGCCAUAACUGACGCUCAUGGACGAAAGCCAGGGGAGCGAAAG